rnacentral:tRNA from 2 species
AGUAAAGUCAGCUAACAAAGCUAUCGGGCCCAUACCCCGAAAAUGUUGGUUUAAAUCCCUCCUAUACUA